rnacentral:lncRNA from 1 species
CAGCAACCAAAGUGGGCGUGGCCUGCCUCCUGCGGGGAGCACAAAGCUGUCUUUGCUGGAAUGGAAAGAGAUCUUGUUGUAAGAGGAGCGUUGGAUGAACCAGCCCCAACCCAGGGUCUAGAGUUUGAGGAGUGACAAGGGCAGAUCUCUAAGGAAGCGAAACUCCUCUGAGACCCGACAGGGAACCAGCUUCCUCGAGGAACCUGAGUGAAAGGUGUCUCUGAAGCCCUGAAAGGCCUCUCAGCUUGGCAUGGCCCCCCGCCCCGCCCCAGCUCGCUCUCUUGAUGCCCAUGUGUGUGACUUGACAGCAUUCCUGCCUUGCUGGCCCACUGCCCCACUCCAAGGAAGGACGCUCUCAAGGUCCAGGUCCCUGGCAGUGUCAGGGCAACAUCAGUGGAAUGAGAACCCUGCUGAGCACAUGGGGCAGCUGUUUCCGUGGGACCUGCUGUCCUGACCUGGGAGUGCCAUGCUGGGGACAUGCUGAGGACCACAGGUGAUUUGAUGUAGGAGGUGCAGGAGUGGCCUCCAGGGGCACAGCCCACCUCCACUGACCCCCUGGCUCCCUGAGGCAGAGACACGGGUGCAGAGCUGGCCUAUCACAUGCUCUUUCCUGGUACCCUGAGUUUUUGGGUGAAUGAAGAAAAGGAGGGAGGAGAGAGAGGGUGGUGACUCCUCCAGGGGACAUGCCCCAGGAUCUGAGCUUAGGGUGGAGCUGCUACGCCCUGGCCACCAUGGCUUCUGGUUUUCCAACCUGGUCUCCCCACCCUGUGAAGAGCCCACUAUCACACAUUGUCCUGGC